AAGUUGCCCGGUGGUGGGGUGGGCUGGGCUAGCGAGGAGGUGGCGGCUGUGUUACGAGGGGAGCAGGCUGCCUCAGGCCCGGGGCGCGCGCAGAGCUGGGGCUGGCCGUUACCCCUUCUGUGUGACUAGGCCACCCCAUCGCGCCUCCGGGCAGGCCCGUCCGAUGGCUCCGUGUCUUUGUUACCUCUGCGGCCACAGCGCGCAGGGAGAGCUGGUGAGGGCGCUGAACGGGCACAUGCGAGCGCAGGGCUGCUUGAGGGCCGGUGCCGCAGCUACUCAGGGAGAGUAGCCCUGACUUUUGCCGGGGUGCCGGCCGGCCGGGCCGCCUGUGGGGCUGUAUAGUACUCAGUGUACAUGGCGUAGUAUUUUGUCAAAUGAGCAGGCUCCCCUCAGCAUUACACGUGAAGCCGUUAUGCGCCCCUGCCCGAGCCAGUGAGAAAUGUGUGGCUCGUUCCUUUCCAUUAAGAUUGGUUUUAUAGGCCCUCUUUUCUGUACCCGCUCAGGCCUCUCCUCUAGCUGCGCCCCAGUUUUCUCCUUUUAAAUUUGAAAGAACUUGAUCAGAAAGGUGGCUGGCAACAGACCAGGCCUUUUAUCAUAUGGAGGGCAGAAGAUCAUCCCACCAUGCUUUCCCAGAAUUGUAGUUUUCAGGGGCCUGAAGACCUGGACAUUAAUUCUGCAACUAUUCAGAAAUAAUCUUCUGUGGGAAUCUGAUUCUAGGACAUGAAGGGUCUAAGCAAGGAAAUUCUCAGCUACUGCCUUGUUCUGGGGCUAUCACAACUUCCACCGACACCACCAGAUGCUGCAUUUUGUUGUAGAACUAGGAAAGGUCUUUCCAACUUCUUCACAUAAGCUAGGUUACACACUGAAAUCUUCACAACUGCUUGUUUAUUAUAAAAAAAAAAAACAGUUCUGGGCUGCCCAUAAGCCUUUGCUUCUCUGAAAGAAUCUGUCAGAUUUGUGUCUACUAUGUACCAUGGUUAAGGAAAAUCUAACUAUCUUUGAGCUACUCCUUCAUACUGACAGAUCCAGACAAAAGAAAGGCAAAAUAGUAAUGUGGGGUCUGUGCAAAUGAAUCUUUUUGGGGAAUUAAGGCUGGGAUAGCUCUCAGGCCUGAAGGAGACUGUGUCAUUGUGAAAGAUGCUGAGUUGUGGCUCACUGACAAGGUCCCCAAUUCUGAAAUUCUUCCGAGGUGAUUCAAAGGAAGAGGAUAAUUACCAGACUUAAUCACCAGGACCAAAGCCUACACCUGUAGUCACACAAAGGGUAAACUUGGAAACGGCAGCACUGAGAUGUCAAGCUUCAGAUUGUACUUUCCAGGAAAUAGCAGCAACUGUGUCUGUGGCUGUCUCCUUGGCAGAUCUCUUGUACACCCUAUUAUCUAGUUCCAUUUCUGGUUUUGCUUGUCGCUAAAGAGCUGUUUGUAGGGGCUGGUUCAUGAUCAGCCUGCUGUCGGGCUGUUCUGGAUGCAAUUAUUCUAUGAUUUACCACUGAACAUGUGGACUUCGCUCUUUUUCCCUACAUUUUAAAAUUAGGCCUUUCCGAAGUCUUAGUCACAUCUUUUUCAGACGAAAUAAAAGAUGUUUUGUUAAGUUUGAUUUAUAACAAAAUAUUCAUAAGGAAGCCAUCACACAUUAUAGAGGAUAUCCCUUGCAAAAUGAGGUUUUGUUAACCAUAGAUUACACUCAAAGCCUCCCCUGAAAAAAAACAAAAGGGACUGUCUGGGUAAACUGUUUAUUAAAAAAUAAAGGCCUGUUACUGCACCUACUGAGGUCAAUGGAAAAGCUUCCAUUUUCUCCAGUGAAACAGGAUCAGACCCUAAAUGUCUAUAAACAUUAGCUUUUGAGAUGACAACUCAAUUUCUCUUGAGAGAUUAUUGGUACUGUAAAUGAAAAACUUCAAAGCUAUCAAAAAUCGGCUCAGAUACAUAAUACACAUAAAUUGAAUUGUCCCAGAAUUUUGUAUAUUGAAUGUGUAAUAGAGCAACUAUGAUACCUUAUGACACUUAAAAUAUGUUAAUAUUAACUCUCUCUGCUUAGAAAUUAUUAAAAUGAUUAUUUUUGUAUGCUGCUUUAAAUUACAUUUCUUCAUUUAUGGCCAAAUAAAUAUUCAAGCCACACUGUAUAAAACAGUUUGGUAUUUGUUAAAUUAACAAACCAGUGACAAAUAUAAAUGUAUUCCAAUGUAUAUACAUCCGUCUACUAACCAUUUAACACGUAUGGUCAUUAAACACAUACAUAAAUAUGUAUCACUCUCUUCAGUCUAAGGUUUGAAUGGAAACAGCUACAUUCUAAAGCAUUUAAUUUUCUAAUGAUGUAAUGUCGUCAUCAUGUUAGUAGUGGGCAAGUGCUCAGGAGCUAAUGCACAUAAAUCGAAUUAUUUCCUAAUAGAUUUUUUGGGGGUGUAUUUUCCAUCUCCCAGUGGGAAAAUUUACUUUGACUGUCUGGAUACCAUUAGGAUUCUGUAUACACUUUUUAUGGAUGAUGUCAAGCAAGAGAGGGAUUUGAGCCCCUAGGCUUUUUAGAGAGAGGGUAAUGAGGAAUAUUGCUAGCAGGUUUGUUGUAUGUAAAUUUUACCCUUCCAAAGAGAUACUGUUAUGGCUGUAGGUGAAAUGUUUGACCUACU